UUCAUUCUAUCUAAAAGUUAUAAUGAACAUUGUGUUCUCUAGCGUAUCAAGACUAUCUCUCCACCGUUACAUAUUCCAUAUGUAUGGGGAUGAUGCCCCUGAUGUCAGGUACGUGGAUAAUUCUUUAAGACACACUGCUCUAUACUAUUUCCUAAAAAGCAAAUGUCCUGGCGUGGACUCACUGAUAAUUUGACCAGAACCGUCUCCGAGCUGCCUACAGCUCGUAGAGAUAGUCUCUUCACUCACAGAACUAAGGUUAUAACGUAACCA